UUCCGGUUGAUCCUGCCGGAGUCAGCUGCUAUGGGAUUCGGACUAAGUCGUGCAAGUCAAGGCACCACCUGUGGUGUCUGGCGCAAAGCUGAGUAACGAGUAGAGAAUCUAUCCUAAGGUGGAAGAUAACCUCGGCAAAAUGAGGCUAAACUUCCAUAACCGCCCUAUGUUGGAAUACUUGGGCGGUAAAAGGAGUACAAGCAUGGUUGUGCACGCCUUAGGGCGACUCUGCUUCCGAUUAGCUAAUAUGUGGGGUAACGGCCGCACGUAGGCGAGGAUCGGUAGGGGUCGUUAGAGCGAUAACCCCCAGAUGGACACUGAGACAAUUGUCCAGGGCCUAUGGGUCGCAGCAGGCGCGAAAACUGUACAAUGCACGAAAGUGUGAUACGGUGAAUCCCAGUCCUAGCCUCACGGUUAGGUUUUGUCUAGUGUGAAUAUCUAGACGAAUAAGGAGAGGGCAAGAACGGUGCCAGCCGCCGCGGUAAAACCGUCUCUUCGAGUGGCUGACAUGUUUACUGGGCCUAAAGCAUUCGUAGCGGGACAGGUAUGUCCAAGAUUAAAGCCGGCGACUCAAUCGUCUGAACUGUCUUGGAAACUGCUUGUCUUGGAAGUGGAAGAGGUGAUCCGUACUGUGGGAGUAUGGGUGAAAUCAUAUAAUACUCACAGGACGACCGAUGGCGAAGGCAGAUCACUGGGACACGUUCGACCGUGAUGGAUGAAAGCCAGGGUAGCGAGCCGGAUUAGAUACCCGGGUAGUCCUGGCCGUAAACGAUGCAUACUACGUGAUGGCACGGCCAUGAGCCGUGUCAGUGCCGUAGGGAAACCGUUAAGUGUGCCGCCUGGAAGUACGGUCGCAGGCUAAACUUAAGGAAUUGGCGGGGAGCACACAGGCGUGAGCUUGCGUCAAUUGAAUCAACGCG
rnacentral:rRNA from 1 species